rnacentral:rRNA from 1 species
CACGGGGGUUGCGAGCGUUGUCCGGAAUUACUAGGCGUAAAGGGCAGGCAGGCGGAUCCAUAAGUUUAUCGUUUAAGGCGUCGGCUUAACCGGCGUAGGGCGGUAGAUACUGUGGAUCUGGAAUGCGGUUGGGGAAGACAGAAUUCCUGGUGUAGCGGUGGAAUGCGCAGAGAUCAGGAGGAAUACUGAAGGCGAAGGCAGUCUUCCAAGCCGUUAUUGACGCUCAACUGCGAAGGUGUGGGUAUCAAACAGGAGUAGAUACCCUGGUAGUCCCU